rnacentral:lncRNA from 1 species
GAAGCAGAGUAUAAGGCCGUCAUCAUAGCCAUGGAACUUGCCAUAAAUCUCGAGCUUGAAAAUAUCAAAAUUUACAGUGAUUUCCAGUUGGUGGUUGAACAAAUCGAAGGGACGUUCGAUAGGAAGGAUGAGAAGAUGAGCUUAUACUGUUUGAAAGUGCAUGAUCUCCAGAGAAAGUUCAAGAGUUGUGAAAUUGUAAAAAUUUCUCGGGCUGAGAAUUGUAGGGCUGAUGCCUUGUCAAGAUUGAUGUUCAUGGAAAUAGAUGGGCUUGACAGGACAGUCCACGUCAGAAUUGUAACCGAGCCAAGCAUCAAUCAGACCAUAGACGUCAUGGAUAUUGAUAAUGAGCCAUCAUGGAUGAACCUAAUAGUGGACUUCAUAAAACAUGGC